UCAGUGUUUCCCAACCUUGGGUUCUCCAGCUGUUUUCGGAUUACAAUUCUCCCCGACCACUGGUCUUGCUAGCUAGGUAUGAUGGGUGUUGUAGCCCCAAAACAGCUGGAGAACCCAAGGUUGGGAAACAUUGAUC